rnacentral:rRNA from 1 species
AUAGCGUAUAUUAAAGUUGUUGCAGUUAAAAAGCUCGUAGUUGAACUUCAGACCUGGCUGGGCGGUCAGCUUAACAGCGUGUACUGUCUGGCUGGGCCUUACCUCUUGGUGAGCCGGUGUGCCCUUUAUUGGGUGCGUUGGGGAACCAGGACUUUUACCUUGAGAAAAUUAGAGUGUUCAAAGCAGGCCUAUGCCCGAAUACAUUAGCAUGGAAUAAUAAAAUAGGACGUGUGGUUCUAUUUUGUUGGUUUCUAGAGUCGCCGUAAUGAUUAAUAGGGACAGUCGGGGGCAUCAGUAUUCAAUUGUCAGAGGUGAAAUUCUUGGAUUUAUUGAAGACUAACUACUG